UGGGAAUUUUGGACAAUGGGCGAAAGCCUGAUCCAGCAAUGCCGCGUGUGUGAAGAAGGCCUUCGGGUUGUAAAGCACUUUUGUCCGGAAAGAAAUCCUUGGCUCUAAUACAGUCGGGGGAUGACGGUACCGGAAGAAUAAGCACCGGCUAACUACGUGCCAGCAGCCGCGGUAAUACGUAGGGUGCAAGCGUUAAUCGGAAUUACUGGGCGUAAAAGCGUGCGCAGGCGGUUUGCUAAGACCGGAUGUGAAAUCCCCGGGCUCAAACCUGGGAACUGCAUUGGUGACUGGCAGGCUAGAGUAUGGCAGAGGGGGGUAGAAUUCCACGUGUAGCAAGUGAAAUGCGUAGAGAUGUGGAGGAAUACCGAUGGCGAAGGCAGCCCCCUGGGCCAAAUACCGACGCUCAUGCACGAAAAGCGUGGGGGAGCAAAACAGGAUUAGAUACCCCUGGUAGUCCACGCCCCUAAAACGAUGUCAACUAGUUGUUGGGGAUUCAUUUCCUUAGUAACGUAGCUAACGCGUGAAGUUGA
rnacentral:rRNA from 1 species